rnacentral:rRNA from 1 species
AUUGAACGCUGGCGGCAGGCCUAACACAUGCAAGUCGAACGAGUGGCGGACGGGUGAGUAAUGUCUGGGAAACUGCCUGAUGGAGGGGGAUAACUACUGGAAACGGUAGCUAAUACCGCAUACAAUCAGAUGUGCCCAGAUGGGAUUAGCUUGUUGGUGGGGUAACGGCUCACCAAGGCGACGAUCCCUAGCUGGUCUGAGAGGAUGACCGGCCACACGGGAACUGAGACACGGUCCAUCCUCCUACGGGAGGCAGCAGUGGGAAAUAUGGCACAAUGGGCGCAAGCCGGAUGCAGCCAGGCCGGGUGUAUGAAGAAGGCCUGCGGGUUGUAAAGUACUUUCAGCGGGGAGGCGUUACCCGCAGAAGAAGAACCGGCUACCUCCGUGCAAGCAGCCGCGGUAAUC